GCUUGCUUCCGCUGACGACCGGCGCACGGGUGCGUAACGCGUAUGCAACCUACCUCAUACUGGAGAAUAGCCCUUGGAAACGAGGAUUAAUGCUCCAUAGUAUCACAGAUUCGCAUGUUUCUGUGAUUAAAGAAUUUCGGUAUGAGAUGGGCAUGCGUCCUAUUAGUUAGUUGGUAAGGUAACGGCUUACCAAGACAGCGAUAGGUAGGGGUCCUGAGAGGGAGAUCCCCCACACUGGUACUGAGACACGGACCAGACUCCUACGGGAGGCAGCAGUGAGGAAUAUUGGACAAUGGAGGAGACUCUGAUCCAGCCAUGCCGCGUGUAGGAAGAAUGCCCUAUGGGUUGUAAACUACUUUUAUACAGGAAGAAACACUGGUAUGUAUACCAGCUUGACGGUACUGUAAGAAUAAGGACCGGCUAACUCCGUGCCAGCAGCCGCGGUAAUACGGAGGGUCCGAGCGUUAUCCGGAAUCAUUGGGUUUAAAGGGUCCGCAGGCGGUCGAUUAAGUCAGAGGUGAAAUCCCAUAGCUCAACUAUGGAACUGCCUUUGAUACUGGUUGACUUGAGUCAUA
rnacentral:rRNA from 1 species